ensembl:lncRNA
UAAAGGCAUCGCUGCAGUUCUGCUCUGACACCCGGACCCAGCACUGCAGUUGAAGCACCAAGGAGCUACCAUCAUCACGUGCCAUCAUAGCACAGUGGGAACUGAAAAGGAAAUCAGAUAUUCCACACAGUCCGAAUGGAAGAAUUUUGCUGUGGUGCACUUUUCGAUUGGGCUUCUACAGUUAACCUUCAGAAAUCUCUCACUUCCUCCUCACUUCUUAUUCCUUAAUAACAUUUUCACUAUGAGCACCUUUAUAUUGAAUUGCUGUAGUCAAAACAGAACCAAAAAGAUUUUAACACAGGCUCAAAACAACGAUUCCUCCUCCUCCGUCUCCAUCUCAGGCAGUGGCGAUAUGCCCACAGAUUACUCAAAGGUAAUGUUCAGGGGUGCAACAAUGUAUUAGGGGGGGAAAAGGAGCUUUUGCCUUCUCUUGCCUUUAGAAGGAUCAGAUGUGCUAGAUUCAAUUCACUGUGAAAUGUUUUACAAUGAUUACGUGCACUGCAGACCUCAGUAACUUUCUCCAAAGUACUUCCUGAACAUCACAGCACUCUUCUAGCUGCGGUUUGCUUGCCUGACAACUUCUAUCUGCUUUUUGCUCUUUUCCUCCACGUUGUGUUUCUGUUUUUGUUUCCCCCUGAAAUGUAGCCCAAUAAACACAGAUAAAAGGAAUGAAUCAAGCCAUUUAACUUCAGAGAUUCAUCAAAUAAUGAGAGGUAAACCUGCCACGAUUUGAGCCCCUUGGCCAGCUGAGCACUGAGCUCAUGGCCUCAGCUGUUGUACUGCUUGAGGAAGUGCAGACUUCAGAGGUCUGGCAGAAAAUAAUACACAGACCCAGGUGGGUUUUUUUUUAACCAGUGGUAUAAAGGAAGUGGUUUUGUUGCUAGCAGGUAUCUUGUUUGGGGUAUUAAAAUAAUGAAAGUUCAUUGCCACAGAUAAACUGUGACUGCACCCCUUCCAACCUGACCUCAAGCUUGAGUGACUGAAGGAGAACAUUUACAACAGCCUUCCCUCAUCCUCCAACAAAUCGAAUUCACACCCCUUAUACUGCUAGAAGAAAUCUCACUUUAUAUAGAUAGAUAUAAGGGAAGAAGAAAAGCAAAAACAAACUCAAAAUCUUUGAGAGAGAGUGGUUC